rnacentral:tRNA from 21 species
UGGUCGGGAUAGCUCAGC